AGAGCGUCUUCGCGUCCCGUCUCUCUUCUCCAACGGUCCAAAGCCUCCGACCACGGCGGCCGCCGAGAACCGGCCUCGCCGCGGCCUCCGCCGGAGAGGGCCGAAGCUCGCCACCGCCUACGCCAUCGGUGUGCUUUCCGGGCGUUCGGCAUCAUCGCGCAGGCCGUCGAUGUCGCGCACAUCUUCCGGCACGUUCGGUUCCCGUUCCUCUGGAAUCUCCCCUCCCCUCCCCUCCCCUCGUCCGCGGUUCCCGACGGGAUUUCGGCGGCUGAAUUGCGUGCGUGCGGGGCGCAGGUACGGUGGUCGAGAGCGCGGCGGCGCACUAGUCGCGGGAGGUGAAGAAGAAGCUCGCUGCCCUCUCUCUCCCCGAGCCGGCCGCAGCGGCACAUGAGUCUCGCCCAGGCCAAGCUCCUCCUCUCAUGCCUCGCCGGCGACCGCCUCCUUCCGGACGCGCCGUCGCCACCGAGGCUCUCCCGGAUCGCCUCCUCGCCAACCUCCUUCCACAUGGCUGCUGUGAGCUCGGCCGCCACCGCGAUGCCUGCCACCUGCUCGACCGAAUGCCGCGGCAGGACCUUGUCUCCUGGGCUAAUAUGGUACGGAAGUGAUCACUUGGCUAUAAGCCUCCUGCUAUGCCACAUUGCCCCAUGUUCUAAGCUUAGCUCAGGAUAUAAGGGGAAUUCAGCUAGUGGUCCCAAUGUCAGCGAAGCAGCUGCAACCUAUGCUGAAAACAUGAGGUCAGUCAAAGCCGAACAGUCCAAUGAAGUCCUGCUGCUCAAAUGCAUGUAUAUGCUGCUCAAAUGAUGAGGGGGAUCACAUGACCUAUGCCAAUCUUAUGACAUAACAUCCUCCAUCUUGCACCGACAUGGCUGCAUGCUGCCCCGAGGAACUGAGUUUGUGCUAGGGCGAAAGCUCCGGAGUCGUAGCAUGCUGCCACUUGUGGCAACUCAGCCAUGACAUUAGGUAAGGGACCUUCUUGACCAUCUUUCGCAGAUGUUUAGAUAGUCUCUAAUGUCCCUUUCAAUCUCAGUCAAUUCGUUGCUGAGGUUCAACAUGGUCUCCUUGGUUGCACUGUUCUAAAAAUUUACCAGUUCAAUUGUUCCCGUGGUACCUCACUGCACAUGGGCCGUUCCAUCUCUUCUCCACCAUGACUAAUAAUCCAUUCAUGAGGAUGGUUGCAAAAUCGAAGACAUCCUUUUCAGCCAGCUGCUUGCUCGCAUCGAAGCUUCUGUACUGGCCGCCAAUGGUCAGAAGCUUUUUGAUGGCAGAAAUCUCUUGUCACUUGUAUAAGCAGGAGCACAUAGCGCUAG